rnacentral:rRNA from 1 species
GGACUACUGGGGUAUCUAAUCCUGUUUGCUCCCCUAGCUUUCGCGCCUCAGCGUCAGGUUUGACCCAGAAAACCGUCUUCACCACUGGUGUUCUUCCACAUAUCUACGCAUUUCACCGCUACACGUGGAAUUCCGUUUUCCCUAAUCAUCCUCUAGUUGAGAAGUUUCAAAUGCAGGUCCGGGGUUGAGCCCCGGAAUUUCACAUCUGACUUUCUCUACCGCCUACGCGCCCUUUACGCCCAGUAAUUCCGAUCAAUGCUUGCACCCUCCGUAUUACCGCGGCUGCUGGCAC